AUUGCGCGUUAGAUCACCGCUCGUUUAUUGCUCGGCGAGAUAUAAAAGAAGUUCGUCGGUCAUAUUAUCGACGAAGUGCUGUUAGGCAAUGAAACUGAUUCCAAUAACCGCUUUCGUUCCAUGGAAAAAGAGGGCGUUGCGCAAUAACCGUAAGAAGAAAAAGGGAGAAGGAAAAAUAUGGGGAGAACGAAAGAACGGUAACGGAAAGAUAAAAAUAUCCGUGAUCCAAUAGUCGAUAAGCUAUCGGCACGAACUAGAUCGCAUCUGGGGGCUGCUCGUUUCAAGAUUGAAAAAGAGAGACAAAGGUGUGGCCCUUAUCGUGUCGCACUUACCCUUUAAUGGAAAGGAAAGGAAACCGAUAUACUCGAUUUCGUUUAUCUAGGAAACACAAAAAGCGACAUCCAUUUGUUUGCACUGAAGGAUUAUCGAAUUUACCAUCUUGAGUUGACUUGUAUUUAUCCGUUGCGAAAGCGAUAAAAUAAUUCUACAAUUCUUGUUGCAUUUAAUUCUUACUAUUUAAUCAUUAAUUACUCAUAAAAGUAUUAAACAUUUAUGAAAAUUUUGUAUGACAUAUGACAAGAUACAAGUAUCAUGAUCACAUUGAUAAAGUUUGAAACAAAUAUGUGAAAUUAUUUAAGCAAUCAAUUGUCCAUUACUGAGUCCACCUUUAGCGUUAAUUAUAUGAUAACUUACUACCGGAAAAUCAAUUCUUAUGCCAUUAAAUAUAGAAUUUUUAUAGAACAAAAAGAAAUGUCUGAGGAUAUUAGAAAAAAAAAAAAUUUGAAAGGUUGAAAUUCAACGAGUGAAUGAAGGUUAAUAAAAGGAAAUGCUCGCGCUAUCAGUUUUUUUAGCGGUCACGAGACUGCGAUUAUUACCACGGCCACGGCACAUUCGUUAACCGACGGGCCGUUCACCUUACCGUGCAUCGUCAGUUUGAAUAUGUCAGACGAUAUGUGGCGCUGGUGGAUGAACUCUGUAUCAUUUUGUCAGACGUGUCUGUGCAGGUUCAAGUCAACGGCUGCCCGAAGAUCGCGUCACGACAUACUUUGAUCGACAACACCGUCCAUCAUACUCGUGUUUAUUCUACCCAAAUAUCUAUCAUAAGAUGAUAAUAAUUCAUACUAAUAUUAAAAUAAAUUC